UACAGAGGUCUCAAGCGUUGUUCGGAUUCAUUGGGCGUAAAGGGUGCGUAGGCGGCGCGGUAAGUCGGGUGUGAAAUCUCGGAGCUUUAACUCCGAAAACUGCAUUUGAUACUGCGGUGCUUGAGGACUGGAGAGGAGACUGGAAUUUACGGUGUAGCAGUGAAAUGCGCAGAUAUCAGGAGGAACACCGGUGGCGAAGGCGGGUCUCUGGGCAGUAACUGACGCUGAGGAGCGAAAGCGUGGGGAGCGAACAGG
rnacentral:rRNA from 1 species